rnacentral:precursor_RNA from 10 species
UGUGAGCAGACGAGAGGCACGUCUUCUACUCCGUACUUCUUUCCGCUCCGUACUCGAAUUAAUAUCGUAUGGAAUGUAGAGAAGUAUGUUGUACUAAACUGCCAUUACUUCAGUCUGUCCG